rnacentral:rRNA from 1 species
CCUACGGGGUGCUGCAGUGAGGAAUAUUGGUCAAUGGUCGGGAGACUGAACCAGCCAAGCCGCGUGAGGGAGGAAGGUACAGAGUAUCGUAAACCUCUUUUGUCAGGGAACAAAGACUGGGACGCGUCCCCGGAUGAGUGUACCUGAAGAAAAAGCAUCGGCUAACUCCGUGCCAGCAGCCGCGGUAAUACGGGGGAUGCGAGCGUUAUCCGGUUUUAUUGGGUUUAAAGGGUGCGCAGGCGGUCUGUUAAGUCAGCGGUCAAAGCCCGGGGCGAAACCCCGGCCCGCCGUUGAACCUGGCAGUCUCGAGUUGGAGAGAAGUAUGCGGAAUGCGCGGUGUAGCGGUGAAAUGCAUAGAUAUCGCGCAGAACUCCGAGUGCGAAGGCAGCAUGCCGGCUCCACACUGACGCUGAGGCACGAAAGCGUGGGUAUCGAACAGGAUUAGAUACCCCUGUAGUC